AAUCCUGGCUCAGGAUGAACGCUGACAGAAUGCUUAACACAUGCAAGUCUACUUGAACUUCGGUUUGGGUGGCGGACGGGUGAGUAACGCGUAAAGAACUUGCCUCACAGUUAGGGACAACAUUUGGAAACGAAUGCUAAUACCUGAUAUUAUGAUUUUAGGGCAUCCUAAGAUUAUGAAAGCUAUAUGCGCUGUGAGAGAGCUUUGCGUCCCAUUAGCUAGUUGGAGAGGUAACGGCU
rnacentral:rRNA from 1 species